ensembl:lncRNA
UUUGGGCCAGUCUCUUAAAUGGGGUGAGCAUAGGGGCCCAUCGGUGGUUCGGGCUUCAGGGCUGGCUUAGGUGGUCUGCUCAUCCGCUUGAUGGUGCUGUGGUGCAAGCUCAGUCCCCUGCUUUUGCUCCUGCACCUCAAGAGUGGCAGUUGGGUUUUGGCCUUUUCUUCGCAGGUCCCAGUCUGUCUCAGAAGUACACAGUUGAGGCUGCAAAGAGAUCACACUGACAAGACCCAGGGCACAAAGUAGAAAGAGUAGGUUGGAAUCCAACGGUCAGGACUUUGCCAGGAUGAGGAAUUGAGGGCGGAAGCUGGGAGAACAGGCAGGGAGUAGUUAACACUCCAAGGGAGAGAGAACGAGGGCCUGACCAAAGUAGGAGCGUGGGAGGGACAAGACUGAAGGAAUCUGCUCCUCUGCCCCAGGCACCCAGACACCCUGCUCUCUGGUAACCAGUACUAGCUGGAAUGAUGAGCGAUGGCUCAGGGGCAGGCUAUGUUGGUCCCCACUGGCAAUACGAUACCCUUUCUAGAAAAAAGUAGAACUUCCCGGCACCCUGCAUGUUCAACGGCCAAUUUCACUCACCUCCUCCUAUCAAUUGUACUUAACCUUUCCGGUCUAUUUCCUCAUCUGUAAAAUCAGCAUGAAAUGGUUCUUCCUUCCUGGGGUUGUUAUGAGGUUGAAUGAGAUAAUGCAUGCAAAGUGCAAGGCCAGGCACUAGGCUCAUAACUGCUAGUGAUGAGCCACCAGUAUGACAAUCUGCUCCCUUGGUCAGCUAGAACCUCCUGAGCCAUGAGCAUGCUUUAUGAGGACUUACUGCUGUGGAAAGUGGCUAUUAGGAACCCCCUCUCUCUCUGGAAAGCAUUAGACACUGGCAAAUAGCUGAAGGUGCAAUCAAGCAAAUUUAUAUUGUGAUAUCUCUCAAGUUUCCCGUAAGUUAAUUUGGACACAGGUAGCUUUCUAACAAAAAGUUCAGAAUUGUUCCAUUUUGACAGUCAACCGUCCUGUUCCUUAUUUUAUACUACUGUCCAUACAGGCUCCUCUUCUCCCUUUGUGUUUAUACUGGAGUGUACCUGAGCUAAACUGUAAUGGAGCUCUGGGUGGGAAUCUGGGAUGCUUUAGACCCACCCAUAGAGGUCAAGGCCUGAGAAUACUAGAAGGAUCUGAGAAUACUAGAUGGGCACUUCAGUAAGACUUCACCCAUUUCAUCCUCCAGGGCACUGUGCCAUACAUUUGGCAUAUGUCAUGUUAUGUAAUCCUUACACCAGUCUCGUGAGGUAGGAAUUGUUAACAUUGUUAUAAAUGAGGAAAUAGAGUCUUGGUUGAAGGGUCUUGCACACAUACAUCUAGCCAGCACUGCAGCAAAGAUCCUCUCUCUUGUGUGUCUGGCUGAAGCCCCUUCUUUCCUGCAUGUGUUCCUCCCUCAGGUUGUCACUCCAGGCCUCAUGGUAAGCCUAGUACAGUUGUUACUGUGAUUUUAAGUUUAGCAUUUUUUGUUGUUGCUAUAGGAUGCUUAAGAGGUUUAUAGUUCCAUUAUGGUGGUUUGCUAUAAUACUUCUAACCUGUAUAUUGUUUUUUAGUCACUAAGUCGUAUCUGACUCUCUGUGACCCCAUGGACUGUAACCCACUUGGCUUCUCUGUCCAUGUGAUUUCCCAGGCAAGAAUACUGGGGCAGAUUGUCAUUUCCUUCUCCAGGGGAUCUUCCCAACCCAGGGAUUGAACCUGCGUGUCCUGCAUUGGCAGGAGGAUUCUGUACCACACAGCUACCUGGGAAGCCCUCUAAUUUAUAUAAUUGGGAAUAAAUGUAAACACCGCAAGCUCUAAUCAGCCCCAAAUAGCAUGUUAUUUCAUGACAAAUAAAUAACAUGUUGAAUGAAAACAAAAGCCAUAGGACAGAGUAUGGAAAGCCAUGGUAAAUGGAACUUCUUGCUCAUCACUAAAGAAAACAGGCUGACAUGAAGAGUCAGUUCAGACAGAAACUAAAGAUCAAACAACAGAGCAUUUUAGCUUAUGCUUUUUACAGCUGGAUUCCAAGGAAGAUAAAUUCUAUUUGAACUUAUCUUUUCAAAUAUCUUGCUAAUAAAGUCAGUCGAUUAUUGAGCGUCAGACAAGAAAUUUAAAAGAUGUAUUAUAUGUAUGUAUGACUUAGGACAUGUAAUUGUAUAUGUAUGUGAGAUUAAUAUGGUAAGGGCGCUAAUGGAUAAAAUAGCAUGCAAGAACAGAUAGACAAUGUAAGCAGAGAGAUGGAAAUCCUGAGAGAGAACUCAAAAGAAAUUCUAGAAAUGAAAAAAACAUGGAAAUGAAGAAUGCCUUUGAUGGGCUUAUUAGGAGACUGGACACAGCUGAGAAAAGUAUCUUUGAGCUUGAGGCUAUUUCAAUAGAAAUCUCCAAAACUGAAAAGCAAAGAGAACAAAAACUGAAGGAAAAAAAACCCAGAACAGAAUAUCUGGCGUCUCUGGACAACUACAAAAGAUAUAACUGAGUAACACAAAUGCCAGAAGGAGAGGAGAAAAAGGAACAGAAGAAAUAUCUGAAACAAGAACAGAAUUUCCCCCAAAUGCUAGAUAUCAAGUCACAGAUCCAGGAAGCUCAGAGAACACCAAGCAAGAGGAAUGUCUCAGAAAAACUACAGCUGAGCAUAUAUUUUCAAAUUAUUGGAAAGCAAAGGUAAAGAAAAAAUACUGAAAGAAACAGAAGAAAAACACCUUACCUAAGGAGGAUCAGAGACAAGAAUCAAUCUCACUUCUUCACAGAAACCAUGCAAGCAAGAAGAGAGUGGAGUUAAACAUUAAAAGUUUUGAGAGGGAAAAACUACCAACCUAGAAUUCUGUACUCUGAAGAAUUAUCCUUCAGAAAUAACUGAGAAAUAGACUUCCUUAGACAAACAAAACUGAGGGAAUGUGUUGCCUGCAGACCUGCCUUGGAAGAAAAGUUAAAAGUUCUUUGAAAAGAAGAAAAUUGACAUAGAUCAGAAACUCAGCUCUACAUAAAAAAUGAAAUAGCAUCAAAGAAGGAAUAAUGAUAAAACUUUUUGUAAAAACUUUUUAUUUUCCUUAAGUGAUCUAAUAACUGGUUCAAAAUAAUAAUAGGAACAAUAUUUGAUUAUGAAUGCUUAUGUAUCUAUCAUAUAUAUACAUCUUGAAGUGAAGUCGGUUGCUCGUGUCCGACUCUUUGCCACCCCGUGGACUUUAGCCUAUACCAGGCUCCUCAAUCCACGGAAUUCUCCAAGCAAGAAUACUGGAGUGGGAAAUGGCAAUCCACUCUAGUACUAUUGCCUGGAAAAUCCCAUGGACAGAGGAGCCUGGUAGGCUACAGUUCAUGGGGUUGCACAGAGUCGGACACAACUGAGCGACUUCACUUUCAAUUUCUUUCACUUUCAAACUAUGAAUUUAGGAAGGACACAUACAUUCAGUCCAUAGCAGAUACCACUGGGUUCUUUUGUAUCAGAUAUUUUCCAUUAAAUGGGGAAAUGGUAGACGGGUUUUGGGAUGCAUACAAUUGUUUUGGUACAGAGCCCAAAUGAAUUCUAGAACAGAGAGGUUUGUUUCUAACCAGCUUCUUAAAUGAGCUUUAAGUAAAAGGUGAAGGAAAUUAAUGUACCUAGAGAUGUUGUACCAUGAUUUUGCCAAAGAUUGUCCAGGGUCUUUUAAGGCCACAAUUAGAGACAAGACUAGACCUUUCCAUUCCUCCUCUGCUCUUCUGGACGCCAAACCACUGCCUUUCUCCAAAAAGAAAAAUUAAAAACAAAUUCUCAAGUGGUUUGAUAGUAAUUCAGACCAACAAAUUUUACUUUCCAUUAAAAGUCACCAGCUAUCAUGUGCUUAGCUUUAAAUGGGAAUAACUUGCUCUCAAAGAACAUUUUUCAGUUGAUGUCACUUGUGAGUUUUAUUUUCGCCUAAUAAAAAAUGGAUUUGCAUUAGUGUGGCUUUGGUGACAGGAAACCCCUGCUUGGAGGCCUGACUUGGUGAUCCGCCCAUGCCCUGAGGAAAGCUAAUUGUUCUACCAGCCAACUCAGAGGACUAACACUGUGGUCAGGAGAGGCCUUUGAGGGGACAGAGGAGAGGGGUUG